rnacentral:lncRNA from 1 species
GGGAGAGUCUUUUGUUGUUCCUAAUGAACCCUUUUGAUUGUACCUGAGUUUAUGCUAAUGAGGUGAAUCUUGGUUGGCCCCUAGAUGGCUUUAAGGGGGAGGCUGGUUGCCAGGAAAACCAGUCCCAUGAAUAGAGGGUGAUAAUUUUCAACAACCCCCCCCCACCACCGACACACACACACACACACACACACGCCUCUCUGGGAAGGAGAGAGGAGCCGGGAGUUGAGUUCAGUCGCCAGUAGCGAAGGAUUUAACCAACCAUGCCACAUAAUGGAACCUCAGUAAAAAUCCCUAAAUGUGGAGUUUAAGGAGCUUCUAGGUUGGUGAACAUGGAAACUCCCCCACCCGCCUGUUGAGUGUAUCUCUUCCAGUUGCUGAGUUGUAUCCUUUAUACGAAACUAAUGCACCCAAGUGAGGCCCUUCCUGAGUUCCGUAAAUCCCAGCGCAUUGUCCUGCCUGAGGAGGGGGUUGUGAGAACCCCUGAGCUUGCAGUCAGCCUGGCAGAGGGUGAGGGGCCUGGGGCCCCAUUUGCAGCGGGUGCCUGCAGUGGGGGCAGCCUUACGGAGCACGCCCUUCGUCUGCGCGGUCUGUGCUCACGCCGGGUCCUUAGUGUCAAUUGAACUGAGCUGUUGGACAUCCAGAUGGGGUGGGAGAGUUGGUUGCUGGUGUGGAAAAACAACGCAUAUUUGGUGUCGGUAGAAAAAUCACACAGCCGGCGCCGAGUGGGUUUGAGCUACUGUCCGAGCUUGGAACCGGGUGCGAGGAAGGAUUUGGAAGGCUUGGUGGAGAUGCGGGGAAGCUGGUGGACCACCUGCGCUAAGUAAAUGAAGACUCGCUCUCUUGGGGACAAGGCCCUCGGCCCUGUGGGUGAGGCGGUGACAGGGUGGGAAGGGAGGUGGCCUCAAGGGAGGUGCACAGCCCCCAAGUAGUCGGGUUUCCUGUUCGCAUGUGGAUCCUCUUUCAGCCCCAUAGGGAGUGGCACGCUGCACGGAACCGACGUUGCCUCCCAGUCCAGCUGUGGUGGCGGCUUAUUGCAGUAAUGCAGACGCAACAGAAAUGCAUUUCGUGCAUAAAGCAAAACCUGUGCUACCUCUGACUCUCAGCUCAGCCAGCUUUUGGUUCCCGUCAAAAGGCCACAUGUACUUUCUUACAGGCGUCAUAAAAAAGAAAAGGCACUUGGAGGCCAUGCUUGGAUGUGGAACAUAUGUGACGAAUUUGCGUUAUCUGGACUCAUUGCUGCUUACUACAUUCUUCACAGGUUUUACCAUCUUAUCAUUUCCAGAACUUGCCAAGAACUUCACAUCUCUUGGCUCGUUGUACUUGUGUGUGUGUGCAGGUGUGUGUGUGCGUGUCUGCCAUGUAAGUGGGUGUGCAGGUGUGUGUGUGCAUGUCUGCCGUGUGAGCGGGUGUGCAGGUGUCCGCGUGUGUGUCUGCAGUGUGAGUAUGUGUGCAGGUGUGUGUGUACGUGUCUGCAGUGAGUGGGUAUGCGGGUGUGUGUGUGUGUCUGCAGUGUGAGUGGGUAUGCAGGUGUGUGUGUGUGUGUCUGCAGUGUGAGUGGUUGUGUAGGUGUGUGUGUGCAUGUCUGCAGUGUGAGUGGGUGUGCAGGUGUGUGUGCGUGUGUCUGCAGUGUGAGGGGGUGUGCAGGUGUGUGUGUGUCCGCGUGUGUGUCUGCAGUGUGAGUAGGUGUGCAGGUGUGUGUGUGCGUGUCUGCAGGGCAGGGCGGGACAGAGAGGCUUGUUGAGAUCUCUGGUCUUCUGUGGGCUCUGUCUCCUCUAAAUUAUUUAGUCUUUUAUUAUUUAAUUUUGAAGAUAUAACAGGGUUUUCAGAGGGUCUCUUUUUGCCUCCAUUUUGCCUGGGAAACCAAAGAUUUUCUUUCCUGCAUUGUUUGGCCCUAAUUAUGUGAUUAUAUGAGUAUAACAGGGCAUUAAAAAGAAGUCUUUUGUCUCAGCUUUGGCUGAGAAAUCAAAGGCUAAUGCAGUUAGUGCCAAGAACACCCACGAUCGGCGUUGUGGGUCAGGUCACUCCUGUGGGGCUCCGUCACCAUUGGAAACCAUCCGCUCCGACCUCUGAAGAGGUGGGGGUGGAAGCGUUGAGAGCGUCUUUUGCAGAGGGGGGCUUGGUGUGCUGUGCACCCCACCUCAACGGCUUUCUGCAUCCGAAAUGGAACUGGCUCCUUACUUCAGGCGGAGCCUAAGGGCCGGGAGCUGCCCUUUUCAUCAAAGUGGGGCAGGGAGGCACGAGUGUUCCUGUGGGCGGGGGGCUUCCCUGACCCCAACCCAGAGGGCAGCCAGGAGGAGCUCAGCAGAGGCUGGAAGGCCUGGAGCACCAGAGCCGAGGUUGGAGGUAGCCCGAGGGAGGAGGGGCACUGCCUGGUUAUCAUCAGGGAAGGGCAUCCCCAGAACCCCCACAAAAGUGCCCACACAGCCUCGGUCCAGGGAGAGCCGAUCCCCCCCCAUGCCCCUCCUCCUUGCUGUGCUGUGCCCUUUGCCCUCAUCCUGUCAUCCCCUCUGUCCCAGCGUUUCCUCCAGAGUCAGAAAAUGCUGCUGGGGAGCUGGGAAGUGGUGAGCCAGGAAAGAAAAAUAUCUCCUACCACAAGCUCAAGCUGCUGGUGCAGGAGAAUGUGGCCCGGGACUGGACGGGCUUUGACCAAGGCCCUGGAGGGGUUUGGGUUGUAAAAACACGACUGUUGUUAAGACAGAGCGAAUGAAGGAUAUUUGAUUGUCUGACAGGCACCACAGGGGCUGCUCAUGCUCUGAAACCUGCCUGAGAGCCUCCAGGAGUAGGAGGGAGGGCGAUUGGGACAGCGGACUUACAGGAAGAGAAGCAGCCAGUCCUUGUUUGCUCGCAACCUGUCACCCCAACCGGUUCAGUAAAAUGGAUGCAAUACAAGCACACGAUUUUGUAAGAAACUGUAACUUUGCAGAAGCAGCUGCGGUCUCCGGCCAGCUCCGUGGACUUUGUCUCAAGUUGCUCUGGCUGUUCUCAGGUGUUCUUGGUUGUUUUUGGGGGAGGGUAUGAUUUCAUGUACAUAAAUCCCUCCUUCCCUCUUCCUCUCACUUUCACUCUUGUUUAUCUCUCUAUAUAUACAUAUCUCAUAUACGGAGUAUUAAAACAUAAUAUAUCAGGGAGUUCCCUUGUGGCUCGGUGGGUUAAAGAUCCGGCAUUGUCACUCCUGUGGCUCUCGUUUUAGCUGUGGCGAGGGUUCAACCCCUGGCACAGGAACUUCCACAUGCUGUGGGCAUGGCCAAAAAAAUAUAUUAUAAUAGAAUAUGGAAUAUUUAAUAGGAUCAAUUAUAAUCUACCUGACCUAGAUUAGUGGAUAAUUUAUGUGCUAUUAUAAUAGACGGAUUAUUAAAAAUAUAGCAUUUUUAUUGUAAGUAUGGGUAUUUCUUUGAAUAAUAUUAACUUACGCUAACAUGUCCAUUCUGGAAUUUGCUUUUUUUCACCAAAUAGUGUGUCUAGAAAAAUCUCUUUGUCGUUUUAUCUCCAUCAGUUUCGUUCUUCUUAACUCAUACAUGGUGUUCAACAGUUUAAUUGUUCUGUGGGGUGUUUUUUGGUAAACAGAUCUCUUAUUAAGAGACAUUUAGAGAGAGUCCCGAUGUCUGCUCUCACGAAAAGUGUUGCCAGGAUUCUACGAGCUGUGUCUUCGGUCUGAAGUGAAUUCCGCCUGCUCUUUCCCGUGGUCCAACUACUUUCACCUCCCGGGUGUCCAAGCCAACACCCUUCCCCUGUUUGGCCAUUGGGACCUCCCAGGCUGACUUCGGCGCUCACUUUCCUGUGCUGUUGUUGCUAAUCAUCUAGUCUCUCUGUUUGGUAGAUGAUUUUUCAGGAAAUAAUUUGCUCUCUCCCACCAGCUUCCAUGGGAGGAGGUCUGCUUCUCGCCCCUCUGAGGUUGGACUUGGCCAUGUGAUUUCUUGAGCCAAAAGGAUGUGGACAGGGGUGACAGUGUCCUCAUCUCAACAGAGGAUUUUACGUCCUGAUCAGUAGGUUCCUAUCAGCCUGGGCAGCCGCUGCCUGUUCCGCUAGAGUCCCAGAAUCAAGAAAUGUGGAGCCAGCCUGGCCCCAGCCUGCACAGUGGAGAGGAACUGGGCUCAGCCAAGGCCAGGCCAGGUCAGUCAAGCACAGGCGAUCUGCAGACCUGUGAUGGUAGAACACACGUUUGUUGUUAUGAGCCCCCAGGCUCUGAGGACUGCUUGUUAUGCAGCGAUGUCACGGGAAAAAGCCGAUGAAUAAUAUGCUCUGAAAAAUAUUGAUUUUCUGAGUUGGAAUUACUUUCAGUCGCAGAUUUCUAGAGUCCAAGGAUUUUGAGAACAGGGACUCUCAGGUACGGGGCUGGGCACAUUGCAGGCAUCUCAUAAAGUUCAGGGCAUGAAGAGCAUCUCUGAACCUGUUUUUGUACCUGAUGCUCUGGGGGAGGAUUUGGAGCCUAGAGGUGGCUUGGCAUCCUGCAUACCAUGUGUGGCUUCUGCCCUCUCAUGAAUACGGACAGAGAUCCUGACUUUCUAGUGCCAGAGAAUAAAGCUAGUAAUUCAUACAGAGGAGAGCCGUCUCCCUAGAUAAAAUCGAGCACCAGCAAACUCGGUAAUUACAUUAGUUAAGGCAACGCUAACUGCUGUGAUAGACAAACUUCCACAUCUCGGCAGACCAACCCAAUAGAAGUUUCUUGUUUGCUGCCAGUGUUUGUCCAUUGGCAGCAAGGGGAGGGAAGACAGACUCAAAGGCCUACAGCUGUUCCGGGGCCCAGACGGAUGGGGCCUCUGCUCUCUGCCCCCUUUGGCUUCCAAGGUCACCUUGGGCAUUGACCUCCCACCAGCCAACCGGGGAGUAUGUCAGAGAGAUUUUUAUGGGCCAGGCCUGGAAUUGACACACAUCACUCAGACCCAAAUUUGAUUGGUCAGCACUGAGUCACAUGGUCACUCCUAACUGCAAGGGAGGCUGGGAAAUGUAAUCUAGCUGGGUGCCCAGGAGGACAAGGAAAAGGGUCUCAUGAACAGAUAACAAGUCUUAUCCACAGAAGGAAAAGAGAUCUCUCAUUAGAGAAUAUUUUCAGGGGUUCCUGUCGUGGCAGAGUGGAAAUGAAUCCAACUGGGAACCAUGAGGUUGCAGGUUCAAUCCCUGGCCUCGCUCAGUGGGUUAAGGAUCCGGUGUUGCUGUGGCUCUGGCGUAGGCCGGCGCUACAGCUCCAAUUAGACCCCUAGCCUGGGAACCUCCAUAUGCUGUGGGUGUGACCCUAAAAAGACAAAAGACAAAAAAAAGAAAAAAGAAAAAAAA